rnacentral:rRNA from 1 species
UACGUAGGGGGCUAGCGUUGUCCGGAAUCAUUGGGCGUAAAGCGCGUGUAGGCGGUCCGGUAAGUCCGCUGUGAAAGUCGGGGGCUCAACCCUCGGAUGCCGGUGGAUACUGUCGGGCUUGAGUACGGAAGAGGCGAGUGGAAUUCCUGGUGUAGCGGUGAAAUGCGCAGAUAUCAGGAAGAACACCCGUGGCGAAGGCGGCUUUCUGGGACGGUACUGACGCUGAGACGCGAAAGCGUGGGGAGCGAACAGG